UACAGAGGUCUCAAGCGUUGUUCGGAUUCAUUGGGCGUAAAGGGUGCGUAGGUGGCGCGCUAAGUCGGGUGUGAAAUUUCGGAGCUUAACUCCGAAACUGCAUUCGAUACUGGCGUGCUUGAGGACUGGAGAGGAGACUGGAAUUCAUGGUGCAGCAGUGAAAUGCGUAGAGAUCAUGAGGAAGACCAGUGGCGAAGGCGGGUCUCUGGACAGUUCCUGACACUGAGGCACGAAGGCCAGGGGAGCAAACGGG
rnacentral:rRNA from 1 species